CCAUUUUCCUGUAUAAAUUACCCAGUCUUGGGUAUGUCUUCAUCAGCAUUGUGAGAACGAACUAAUAUAUCAGGGAAGAGCUCAUUGUUCUAAACAAUUACCCCAAAGGAUUUUCAGGUCUCUGUAGAUAAUUGUUGUUCAAUUAAGUCAGGAAUGGAUCACCUAGACAGUUUCUUGGGCCUCAGACCGGAUGAGAAGCCGUCCAGGAGAAAUAAGUCAAUUUGUUGUUUGUGCAACAUGCAUUGGACAUACUUAGUGUAAAUUUCACUGAGUCGGCUAGCUAGCAAGUUGCUGGGUAGGGAUUUUAACUAUGGAGUGCCUCAUUCUAAGAGCCAUCAUGGUAUUGCUUGUACUUUGUAAAGUUUUCAGGCUUCGUGCUGCCAUAGAGAGGCUUGCAAGUACAUGCUAGUUCUAAGCAUUCAUAUGCUAGAAGUUAUCAACACCCUGAAUUCCCUUGUAUUUUAUUGUAAUCUCAUUUGUUUUAUCAGCAGAGGAAGCUCCAUUUAGAAAUAGCUCCUUGGUCACAUGCUGGACAAACAUGGAACAGCCUAUGGAACAGAACAAUCAUAUCUCUAUAUUCUGUGCAUUGGUUUCUUUGACUUGCCUGGUGCUGUGAGGAGGGAUCCUCCUUCAAAUUUUCAUCCAGGUCCACGCCAACUCUGUUAAAGAAAACCGAAAACUGGUCAAUCCCCUGCUGCAGAAGGAAUGAGACAGUCUUGCGUGUCAGAUGACCUAACCCAAACAAAAUGUGUAUCUGAGAAAAGAUUUGGCAGAAAACUAUCCUACCUCUUCUUGAAUCAAAAGAACCUCAGAUUUAUACCAAAAUAAGAACUUGAACAGCUGGGCCUCAGGAUGCUGGAGAAGUUAAGCAUCAACAGCAGCUCUUCACUACUGUCUUUCCUGGCAAGGCCUGCUGUUGGGGUGGGGGAAGCAAAGCCACGUGAGAAGCCUCCAGUCAAGCAAAUGUGUAACUCUUUAUAAGGAGAACAGUAACAGUAAAGUCCCACCUGUUUAAAAUACUUCUGAUUCUUCACAGUUAAAUAAACAGAAUGAUCUAAUGCCAGAAGUGGAUCUCCUUCCCUCACUUUCACUGUCAAGUGAAACGCUAAGCUAUGAGGAACUCCAGGCAGAACUGUGGCCUAAUCCCAGCUUGCCAUUAAAGACCAUGCUUGGCGUGCAUCGGGGUCAGCAGUGAGAUCUCAGGAUUAAAAGAUAAUUCAUUCUCUACCACUCAGCCACAAAGAAGGAAGGAAUUAGUGGCAUCUGCAGCAAUCUGGAUGGAAUUGGAAACUAUUAUUCUAAGAGAAGUAACUCAGGAAUGGAAAACCAAACAUCGUAUGUUCUCACUCAUAAGUGGGAACUAAGCUAUGAGGAUGAAAAAGCCUAUGAAUGAUACAUUAAACACUGGGGACUCAGGGGAAAGGCUGGGAGGUGGGUGAGGGAUAAAAGACUAUAAAUUGGGUCCAGUGUAUACUA